rnacentral:lncRNA from 1 species
CUGAAUGUAUACACCUCCUUCCACUUAGGGAUCCCUCCUAUACAGUAUGCCAUAUGCAUCAGCCUGUAACAAAUAUUGAUAGUGAAUAUCCAUUUCAGUUUGAGAUGUCCAUACAAAAUCACCUUGCGAUGCUUUAUUUACUAUAAAAUCAGCCACUUGAUUAGCUUCUCUAUAAGUAUGCAUGAUUUUAUAAAAAAUCUCAUCUAUUUUCCAAUGAUAUAUGUCCUUUACAUGUGGAAUGUGAAGUAUAUUUUGUAUUGCGUGGCUAGUUAACCAUGAUACAAUGGCCGUCGAAUAUCUCUCUAACCA